rnacentral:rRNA from 1 species
AUUGAACGCUGGCGGCAGGCCUAACACAUGCAAGUCGAACGAGUGGCGGACGGGUGAGUAAUGUCUGGGAAACUGCCCGAUGGAGGGGGAUAACUACUGGAAACGGUAGCUAAUACCGCAUACCAUCGGAUGUGCCCAGAUGGGUUUAGCUAGUAGGUGGGGUAACGGCUCACCUAGGCGACGAUCCCUAGCUGGUCUGAGAGGAUGACAAGCCACACUGUAACGGAGACACGGUCCAGACUCCUACGGGAGGCGACAGUGGGGAGUAGUGCACAAUGGGCGCGAGCCUGAUGCAGCCAUGCCGCGUGUAUGAAGAAGGCAUUCGGGUUGUAAAGUACUUUCAGCGGGGAGGCGUUACUCGCAGAAGAAGCACCGGCUAACUCCGUGCCAGCAGCCGCGGUAAUAC